GCCCGCCUCGGCCCCGAGGAGGGCGAGGCGGCUCUACUGGAGCCGCACGUCAGGGUGUUCGACAUCACCGGCAAGCC
rnacentral:tRNA from 1 species